rnacentral:rRNA from 1 species
AUUGAACGCUGGCGGCAGGCCUAACACAUGCAAGUCGAGCGGUAACAGGAAGAAAGCUUGCUUUCUUUGCUGACGAGCGGCGGACGGGUGAGUAAUGCCUAGGGAACUGCCCAGUCGAGGGGGAUAACAGUUGGAAACGACUGCUAAUACCGCAUACGCCCUACGGGGGAAAGGAGGGGCUCUUCGGACCUUUCGCGAUUGGAUGUACCUAGGUGGGAUUAGCUUGUUGGUGAGGUAAGAGCUCACCAAGGCGACGAUCCCUAGCUGUUCUGAGAGGAUGAUCAGCCACACUGGGACUGAGACACGGCCCAGACUCCUACGGGAGCAGCAGUGGGGAAUAUUGCACAAUGGGCGAAAGCCUGAUGCAGCCAUGCCGCGUGUGUGAAGAAGGCCUUCGGGUUGUAAAGC